rnacentral:tRNA from 2 species
CUCCUCGUAGUUCAAUGGAUAGAACGGAUGCCUCCUAAGCGUCAAAUACAGGUUCGAUUCCUGUCGAGGGGACCA